UACGGAGGGUGCAAGCGUUGUCCGGAAUCAUUGGGCGUAAAGCGCGUGUAGGCGGGUCGGUAAGUCCGCUCUGAAAGCCCGGGGCUCAACCCCGGGAGGCGGGUGGAUACUGUCGACCUCGAGUCCGGAAGAGGCGAGUGGAAUUCCUGGUGUAGCGGUGAAAUGCGCAGAUAUCAGGAGGAACACCAAUGGCGAAGGCAGCUCGCUGGGACGGUACUGACGCUGAGACGCGAAAGCGUGGGGAGCAAACAGG
rnacentral:rRNA from 1 species